rnacentral:rRNA from 1 species
AGUGAACGCUGGCGGUAGGCCUAACACAUGCAAGUCGAACGGCAGCACAGUAAGAGCUUGCUCUUACGGGUGGCGAGUGGCGGACGGGUGAGGAAUACAUCGGAAUCUACUUUUUCGUGGGGGAUAACGUAGGGAAACUUACGCUAAUACCGCAUACGACCUACGGGUGAAAGCAGGGGAUCUUCGGACCUUGCGCGAUUGAAUGAGCCGAUGUCGGAUUAGCUAGUUGGCGGGGUAAAGGCCCACCAAGGCGACGAUCCGUAGCUGGUCUGAGAGGAUGAUCAGCCACACUGGAACUGAGACACGGUCCAGACUCCUACGGGAGGCAGCAGUGGGGAAUAUUGGACAAUGGGCGCAAGCCUGAUCCAGCUAUACCGCGUGGGUGAAGAAGGCCUUCGGGUUGUAAAGCCCUUUUGUUGGGAAAGAAAAGCAGCAGGUUAAUACCCCGCUGUUCUGACGGUACCCAAAGAAUAAGCACCGGCUAACUUCG